rnacentral:rRNA from 1 species
UACGAAGGGGGCUAGCGUUGCUCGGAAUUACUGGGCGUAAAGGGCGCGUAGGCGGACAGUUUAGUCAGAGGUGAAAGCCCAGGGCUCAACCUUGGAACUGCCUUUGAUACUGGCUGUCUUGAGUUCGGGAGAGGUGAGUGGAAUGCCGAGUGUAGAGGUGAAAUUCGUAGAUAUUAGGAAGAACACCCGUGGCGAAGGCGGCUCUCUGGGACGGUACUGACGCUGAGACGCGAAAGCGUGGGGAGCGAACAGG